rnacentral:rRNA from 1 species
AUUGAACGCUGGCGGAAUGCUUUACACAUGCAAGUCGAGCGGCAGCACGGGGGCAACCCUGGUGGCGAGCGGCGAACGGGUGAGUAAUACAUCGGAACAUGCCCAGUCGUGGGGGCUAACACUUCGAAAGAAGUGCUAAUACCGCAUACGUCCUGAGGGAGAAAGCGGGGGAUCUUCGGACCUCGCGCGAUUGGAGUGGCCGAUGUCAGAUUAGCUAGUUGGUGGGGUAAAGGCUCACCAAGCCAACGAUCAGUAGCUGGUCUGAGAGGACGACCAGCCACACUGGGACUGAGACACGGCCCAGACUCCUACGGGAGGCAGCAGUGGGGAAUUUUGGACAAUGGGCGCAAGCCUGAUCCAGCAAUGCCGCGUGCAGGAAGAAGGCCUUCGGGUUGUAAACUGCUUUUGUACGGAACGAAACGGUCCUGGUUAAUACCUGGGGCUAAUGACGGUACCGUAAGAAUAAGCACCGGCUAACUACGUGCCAGCCGCCGCGGUAAUAC